rnacentral:sRNA from 1 species
UCGCAUAUUGCGACAUACAGGGUCCAGUCGCAUAAAGCCCCGAUUUAUCGGGGUUUUUUGUUAUCAGGCAAUUGCAUUACUGGGCUGAAAGCCCUUUUUUU